UACGAAGGGGGCUAGCGUUGCUCGGAAUUACUGGGCGUAAAGGGCGCGUAGGCGGAUAGUUUAGUCAGAGGUGAAAGCCCAGGGCUCAACCUUGGAAUUGCCUUUGAUACUGGCUAUCUUGAGUUCGGGAGAGGUGAGUGGAAUGCCGAGUGUAGAGGCGAAAUUCGUAGAUAUUCGGAAGAACACCAGUGGCGAAGGCGGCUCACUGGACUGGUAUUGACGCUGAGGUGCGAAAGCGUGGGGAGCAAACAGG
rnacentral:rRNA from 1 species